CUUGAGGACAAAGAUCAUUUGAAGAAGGGGGUAUGUUCUGAUAUCAAUAAUAGUCGAUCAAAUUUAGUUGUUUGGAAUCAAAGUGAAGAAUAGAAAACAAAUAGAAAUGUGUGAGAUUGAGAACAAACGCCAAACUUACUCUAGUUUGAAGGAGGCGCAAUGAUCGUGAUAAUACCACAUGGUUUUGAGGCCCAGUCUCGUGACCCCGCUAAUUAGUAGAUCAUGCCAAACGUUUGGAUUUGGAAACUAGGUUUGGAGCCUAAAAGAAGAAAAAAGAGUUGAAGCUUGAAAAAAUAUCCCACUUACAAAACCACUUAUUGGCUUGAAGUACUACUUAUGACCACCGUAAGUGGGCUCCUAAGUAUCAGAGUAUGUAAUGUUAAAGUACCUGAAAGUGAAGAUUGUUCUACAUAGACAAAGGGCUAGUUACGGAGUGUAGUUACCAUUUACUCCACCAUAAGUACCAAUGUAGUUUACGCAUUCUUUACAUUCACAAAUAUAUAUUUAUAGUAAGAUUCGAAUUUUGAUAUUGGAAGUCUCUGUUCUUGAUUAUUUAGUUGAUUAUUAAUUUGAGAA